GAUGAACGCUGGCGGCGUGCCUAAUACAUGCAAGUCGAGCGAACGGACGAGAAGCUUGCUUCUCUGAUGUUAGCGGCGGACGGGUGAGUAACACGUGGAUAACCUACCUAUAAGACUGGGAUAACUUCGGGAAACCGGAGCUAAUACCGGAUAAUAUUUUGAACCGCAUGGUUCAAAAGUGAAAGACGGUCUUGCUGUCACUUAUAGAUGGAUCCGCGCUGCAUUAGCUAGUUGGUAAGGUAACGGCUUACCAAGGCAACGAUGCAUAGCCGACCUGAGAGGGUGAUCGGCCACACUGGAACUGAGACACGGUCCAGACUCCUACGGGAGGCAGCAGUAGGGAAUCUUCCGCAAUGGGCGAAAGCCUGGCGGAGCAACGCCGCGUGAGUGAUGAAGGUCUUCGGAUCGUAAAACUCUGUUAUUAGGGAAGAACAUAUGUGUAAGUAACUGUGCACAUCUUGACGGUACCUAAUCAGAAAGCCACGGCUAACUACGUGCCAGCAGCCGCGGUAAUACGUAGGUGGCAAGCGUUAUCCGGAAUUAUUAGGCGUAAAGCGCGCGUAGGCGGUUUUUUAAGUCUGAUGUGAAAGCCCGCGGCUCAACCGUGGAGGGUCAUUGGAAACUGGAAAACUUGAGUGCAGAAGAGGAAAGUGGAAUUCCAUGUGUAGCGGUGAAAUGCGCAGAGAUAUGGAGGAACACCAGUGGCGAAGGCGACUUUCUGGUCUGUAACUGACGCUGAUGUGCGAAAGCGUGGGGAUCAAACAGGAUUAGAUACCCUGGUAGUCCACGCCGUAAACGAUGAGUGCUAAGUGUUAGGGGGUUUCCGCCCCUUAGUGCUGCAGCUAACGCAUUAAGCACUCCGCCUGGGGAGUACGACCGCAAGGUUGAAACUCAAAGGAAUUGACGGGGACCCGCACAAGCGGUGGAGCAUGUGGUUUAAUUCGAAGCAACGCGAAGAACCUUACCAAAUCUUGACAUCCUUUGACAACUCUAGAGAUAGAGCUUUCCCCUUCGGGGGACAAAGUGACAGGUGGUGCAUGGUUGUCGUCAGCUCGUGUCGUGAGAUGUUGGGUUAAGUCCCGCAACGAGCGCAACCCUUAAGCUUAGUUGCCAUCAUUAAGUUGGGCACUCUAAGUUGACUGCCGGUGACAAACCGGAGGAAGGUGGGGAUGACGUCAAAUCAUCAUGCCCCUUAUGAUUUGGGCUACACACGUGCUACAAUGGACAAUACAAAGGGCAGCGAAACCGUGAGGUCAAGCAAAUCCCAUAAAGUUGUUCUCAGUUCGGAUUGUAGUCUGCAACUCGACUACAUGAAGCUGGAAUCGCUAGUAAUCGUAGAUCAGCAUGCUACGGUGAAUACGUUCCCGGGUCU
rnacentral:rRNA from 1 species